AAAUUGUUGGUGUAUGGUGUUUAAUCCUGUUAAGAGAGUUAGUUGCGGGUUAUUAAUUGUUGUGUUAUAGAGUUACUACCAUGCGUGAGAACGGUACGCAGUUAACAGGGCUCCUGGUGCUGCUAUAUGAUGGAGAAAAAAAAAAAAAA